GAGUUUGAUCGUGGCUCAGAUUGAACGCUGGCGGCAUGCCUUACACAUGCAAGUCGAACGGCAGCACGGGAGCUUGCUCCUGGUGGCGAGUGGCGAACGGGUGAGUAAUGCAUCGGAACGUAUCCUGGAGUGGGGGAUAACGUAGCGAAAGUUACGCUAAUACCGCAUAUUCUGUGAGCAGGAAAGCGGGGGACCUUCGGGCCUCGCGCUCUUGGAGCGGCCGAUGUCGGAUUAGCUAGUUGGUGAGGUAAAGGCUCACCAAGGCGACGAUCCGUAGCAGGUCUGAGAGGAUGAUCUGCCACACUGGAACUGAGACACGGUCCAGACUCCUACGGGAGGCAGCAGUGGGAUUUUGGACAAUGGGGGCAACCCUGAUCCAGCCAUGCCGCGUGAGUGAAGAAGGCCUCGG
rnacentral:rRNA from 2 species